UCGGUUACUGCAGCUGUUGUGAGCAUUUUAAUAUUGCUGCUCCUUCUGUUGGUUGUUGGUUUAUGGGUCUGGAGGAAGAAAUGGCAAAGUUCUGGUGUCGUAGUUCAGUUCAGCAGCAGGUUAAAGGAACUGAAAAAAGACCAGGAGGACAAAAGCAACGGAGCAGUGGAUGAAAGGGAACGCACCAAUAAGCUGUAUCAAACUAAAAGCUCCAGUCACGACCCG